rnacentral:rRNA from 1 species
UACGAAGGGGGCUAGCGUUGCUCGGAAUUACUGGGCGUAAAGCGCACGUAGGCGGCUUCUUAAGUCGGAGGUGAAAUCCUGGAGCUCAACUCCAGAACUGCCUUCGAUACUGGGAAGCUCGAGUCCGGGAGAGGUGAGUGGAACUGCGAGUGUAGAGGUGAAAUUCGUAGAUAUUCGCAAGAACACCAGUGGCGAAGGCGGCUCACUGGCCCGGUACUGACGCUGAGGUGCGAAAGCGUGGGGAGCAACCAGG